UACGAAGGGGGCUAGCGUUGUUCGGAUUUAUUGGGCGUAAAGAGCUCGUAGGCGGCUCGUCGCGUCGACCGUGAAAACCCGCGGCUUAACCGCGGGCUUGCGGUUGAUACGGGCGGGCUAGAGUUCGGUAGGGGAGACUGGAAUUCCUGGUGUAGCGGUGAAAUGCGCAGAUAUCAGGAGGAACACCGGUGGCGAAGGCGGGUCUCUGGGCCGAUACUGACGCUGAGGAGCGAAAGCGUGGGGAGCGAACAGG
rnacentral:rRNA from 1 species